CGUGCCCGGACCCUGUCGCACC
rnacentral:snRNA from 1 species